UGCAUUAUCAUAAGCGGAGGAAAAGAAACUAACAAGGAUUCCCCUAGUAACGGCGAGUGAAGCGGGAAGAGCUCAAAUUUAAAAUCUGGCAGGCUACGCUUGUCCGAAUUGUAAUCUCGAGAAGUGUUUUCCGCGUUGGCCUGUGUACAAGUCCCUUGGAACAGGGCGUCAUAGAGGGUGAGAAUCCCGUCCUUGACACAGACACCCAAUGCUUUGUGAUACACUCUCAAUGAGUCGAGUUGUUUGGGAAUGCAGCUCAAAAUGGGUGGUAAAUUCCAUCUAAAGCUAAAUACUGGCGAGAGACCGAUAGCGAACAAGUACCGUGAGGGAAAGAUGAAAAGCACUUUGGAAAGAGAGUCAAACAGUACGUGAAAUUGUUGAAAGGGAAACGAUUGAAGUCAGUCGUGCCUGCCUAGAUUCAGCCUUCUGGUGUAUUUCUAGGUCGGCAGGUCAGCAUCAGUUUGGGGGGGUUAACAAGGGAGCUGGGAAUGUGGCAACCUCGGUUGUGUUAUAGCCCAGUUUCGCAUUGAUCUCGCUGGACUGAGGAACGCAGUGCGCCCGCAAGGGUUGGUCUUCGGACACAUUCGCACUUAGGAUGCUGGCAUAAUGGCUUUAAACGACCCGUCUUGAACCGGGACCCA
rnacentral:rRNA from 1 species